ensembl:lncRNA
UGCAGCGUGGGGAAGUGAACGGUGUGCUGUCAGUAGGGCAGCUGCAAGGUAUUCCUUCAUGAAGUUUCUCUUCAGGGAACAGAAGUUCAAACUAUUCAGCACCCCUUCUUUUACAUGACCUACUUUAAACCUGAUACAAUGCAGCGUGCUCAGAGAGGACAAUGUUAUUGUUGUUGGCUCUAACACGUCAAAACAACAGUCUUGAAAACUUGUGUCUAAAGAUGUGAUGUCACUAUGUUGACAGCAGAGCGGAGAUGAAGCAUCCUGGAGGAAGCCUUUGAUUUCUCUGCACCCACUACUGCCUGAAACAGCGCUGCGGGUCCUCACACCUCUCUGAGUCGAUCCUUCCCUUUCCGGAG